GAUGAACGCUAGCGGCAGGCCUAAUACAUGCAAGUCGAACGGUGUCUUCGGACAUAGUGGCGCACGGGUGCGUAACGCGUAUGCAACCUACCUUACAUUGGGGGAUAGCCUUUCGAAAGGGAGAUUAAUACCGCAUAAGACAGUAGCUGGGCAUCCAGCAGCUGUUAAAGAUUUAUCGAUGUAAGCUGGGCAUGCGUCCAAUUAGCUAGUUGGUGAGGUAACGGCUCACCAAGGCAAUGAUUGGUAGGGGAACUGAGAGGUCAAUCCCCCACACUGGCACUGAGAUACGGGCCAGACGCCUACGGGAGGCAGCAGUAGGGAAUAUUGGGCAAUGGACGCAAGUCUGACCCAGCCAUGCCGCGUGCAGGAUGAAGGCGUUAUGCGUUGUAAACUGCUUUUAUACAGGAAGAAACGACUCUUGCGAGAGGCAUUGACGGUACUGUAUGAAUAAGCACCGGCUAACUCCGUGCCAGCAGCCGCAGUAAAAC
rnacentral:rRNA from 1 species